AACCAGUGAGGGCAGCUCUCCUCUUUGGGCUCAGCCAACCGGCGGAGGGCAUGUGCGGCUAAGCUCUUCCUACUGUCAGCAGCACGCUUGUCAGUAUGUCUCGUGACAUCACCAAGUUGUUAGCUGACUACACGCCGAAUAACUGGCGAACGGAACCGAGCAUGACACUGGAAUAGCUUGUAUCGUGGGCGUAGGCUAAAACGAUCCACGACUUUCAUUCAACAUUUCCUUCCAGCACCAUUGCAUUGAGGGUCCAUAUGAUGGAGUCUUGCGCGCCCAAAAGCAAAGCUGAAGAAGCUUAGUGAAGACAGCCUCACCAGGCAGCCGGAGGAAGUUUUUUGACGUGCUGAAGAAGCUUGGGGAGGGGGUCCUAUGGGAGUGUUUAUAAAGCCUUGCACAAGGAGUCGGGGCCAGGUGGUGGCCAUAAAACAGGUGCCCGUGGAAUCCGACCUGCAGGAAAUCAUCAAAGAAAUAUCAAUCAUGCAACAGUGUGACAGUCCUGUGGAUCAUGAUGGAAUACUGUGGGGCAGGCUCUGUGUCAGACCUUAUCAGAGCACGUGACAAGACGCUCAGUGAGGAUGAGAUAGCCACAAUCCUCAAAUCAACCCUGAAAGGCCUGGAGUAUCUGCAUUUUAUGAGGAAGAUCCACAGGGACAUAAAAGCUGGGAAUAUUCUCCUCAACACUGAAGGUCAUGCGAAACUGGCCGACUUCGGAGUGGCUGGACAACGGACGGAGCCUCCCGGCGGGUUGAUUAGGGAAAACUGCAAACAGCUCACCUCAGGAGGCAGAAACUUGGAAGACUUGCGCCUCAGCUCCAGGAGCGAUCCGUGACUUUGGUUGAGUCAGCCUUCCCACCCCUUUGAGGACACGAUGGCCAAGAGGAACAUCCAUCCUCUUGGAACGGCAUUCUGGAUGGCCCCGGAAGUGAUCCAGGAGAUCGGAUGGCCUGGGAGGUGUUACCUCACAACUCUCUCAGAACACUCCAGGGCCUUGCACUGUGUGAAGAAACACGUCAGUGUAUGUUUAAAAGGCCUAGAAAGCACCCGGUUCUGGAAUGGACCAGCUCCGGUUCCAGACCCACUGCAUAAUCAGUUGGCGUUCUUGUUUCGUUCUGGACCACGCUCAAAGUCAGCUCCAGAAGUGCCAUCAGAAGAGGGUCACACACUGGCUUCCUCAGGCAGACGGCACCCAAGGUCCAGAUGUUUAACGCCAGUGUGUUCAGUGUAGUAUGCCAAUGCGUUACCUCUUUUAGCACCGCUACGCUCCAUUUAUCGCACUGUUCACCACUGCUUACACUAACCCCCAGAUUGGGCCUCGCAAAAUCAGUAACAAUUAACAUGCAGCGUGAAACACACAACAUCAACAGCAAUCAGUUCAGGUUAUUAUAUGUGCUAUUUGAUUAAGGAGGCAUGUACUGUAGCAUAUGUUUUGUCCUAUAUGCAAGGCGAUGCUGUGCGGCACCUCUGGGCCAAAGGCGUAGCCACCCUGACCAUACACAGCAGCUGUGUCUCGUGCAUUGGGUCAUCUGGACAUCGUGGAAGGCUCGCUGACCUGUGUUUAAUUAGCUCAAAUGCUAACAUGAAGCGGGGGAACAUACUGGUCUGUUCCUUGCACAGGAAAGAAGAAGUGGGGUGAAAUGGUUCCAUCUGAUAAAAAAAAAAA